rnacentral:rRNA from 1 species
AUGGACUUGCCUCUCCUGAAAGAUAUCAACAAGCAAUCAUUUAGAUGGAAAGUUAUGGCCAGGAUCGCAAGAGUCUGGGAGCUCAAAAGAAAAGACACAGGAACUACCUAUGAGGUGGACUUCCUGCUGCUUGAUCGACAGGGUGGCACAAUGGAAAGUUUGAUUCCAGAGAAGAGAAUGGCCCAAUUUACGAAGCACAUCACCGAGGGAACAAUUUAUACAAUUGAGGACUUCAAUCUAUAUGAUGCCAAGAGCAAGUUUAGAUCUUCAGAUCACCCCCUCAGGGUAUGUUUCACAUUUCGCACUAAGCUUAAAAAAGUGGAGCCCCAACCCGUGAAUUUCCCAAUAUUUGCCCACAACGUCAGGCCAUUCUCUGUUCUGGAAGCACGUGCUGAUCAGAACUUCAUCUUAUCAGAUGUUAUUGGAGUAAUCGUGCAAGUCACAGAACUCUUGCCAGGCUCCAGCGCAAACCCUGAUGAGCGCUGUCAGAUCUACAUCACUGAUGGAAACCAGCGGGCUGUGGUGACACUUUGGGGGACACACGCCACUACUUUCAACGCCGCGGGCCUCGUGGAGAGCUCUGCCACGCAGCAUAUCGUUGCUCUUUUUGUAGGUGUUACAGUGAGUCACUAUUCAGGUUUACUCGCUUUCAAAUCGACAUCAGUGACCAAAUUAUAUGUCAACAUCCCAAUACCAGAAAUGGAGACCGUCAGACACAACGUGACAGGUAUUCCAUCCCAGAUUGAAUGGUUUGGUAACCAUCGAGCAAGAAAAGAGCCGGUAGAUGCAAGAAUAGCAGAAAUUGCUGAGCUUGAACCCAACCACAUCAUGGACGAACGCUACAGAUUUUCAAUUCUUGUCACUGAAGUUAUCCUAUCCAAGUGA